AUUGAACGCUGGCGGCAUGCCUUACACAUGCAAGUCGAACGGCAGCACGGGAGCAAUCCUGGUGGCGAGUGGCGAACGGGUGAGUAAUAUAUCGGAACGUGCCCAGUCGUGGGGAUAACGUAGCGAAAGCUACGCUAAUACCGCAUACGAUCUAUGGAUGAAAGCGGGGGAUCGCAAGACCUCGCGCGAUUGGAGCGGCCGAUAUCAGAUUAGGUAGUUGGUGAGGUAAAGGCUCACCAAGCCGACGAUCUGUAGCUGGUCUGAGAGGACGACCAGCCACACUGGGACUGAGACACGGCCCAGACUCCUACGGGAGGCAGCAGUGGGGAAUUUUGGACAAUGGGCGCAAGCCUGAUCCAGCAAUGCCGCGUGCAGGAUGAAGGCCUUCGGGUUGUAAACGUGCUUUGUUACGGAACGAAACGGUGAGCUCUAAUACAGUUUGCUAAUGACGGUACCGUAAG
rnacentral:rRNA from 1 species